UCUGGCAGCCCAGGAAGGGGCUGUGAGGAGAGACUGAGGGGUUUGAGGGCCCUCAGCGGGGCUGAGAGAGGCCAAGGAGUCAGAAGGCCCAGAGGGGCGCUGCAGAAGCAAUUGAUAAAACAACUGAUUACCCAUGAAUGGUGUGAGGCUGGUAGCAGCCCCCCCUGCGCUGGGACUGGGUCUUCUCAGAGUCGGGUUGCUUGGGAUUGCAGCCCAAAGCGGGUAGUAAACUCCAUCUAAGGCUAAAUACCGGCACGAGACCGAUAGUCAACAAGUACCGUAAGGGAAAGUUGAAAAGAACUUUGACGAGAGAGUUCAAGAGAGUGUGAAACUGUUAAGAAGCAAAUGCGGGGGCGGGGGGGUCCGUGCAGUUUUGGGGUUUUUUUCCAACUACAGAAUGUUCUUCCAAGAAGAAGGAUUGCUGGGAAGAGAUGGGAUCCACCUGACAGAGAGGAGAGCGUCUUCACAGACAGGCUUGCUAAACUA
rfam:Alligator sinensis unplaced genomic scaffold scaffold391_1, whole genome shotgun sequence